AUGAUGAGAGCGACAUCAUCACCCUCACCCACUUCCCCUCUGCGUUCGUCUUCUUUUCUCCGUUGUUUGUUGUCUAAUGGUUUUCUCCUUCAAUCGAACUCGCAGUGGAUCCAACAAACCAAACCUCCAAUGGCGUUCACUCCUAACCAUCGAACCCUUAUAGCUUCCACAACGGCGAUCUCCGUCUUAAUAGAUCGUCACAAGCAUGAUGAAACUCUGAUGAAUCAAAUUAGAAGUGAAGAUGUAGAAGUGUUGAUGAAUCGUUGCAGAACAAGAUGA